GUUCCUUUCAAAAUUCUGCUGAUGUUUUAAGGUUGUCUGGUCUACCUGAAGGUAAGCUGUCAGCCAUGUCCCUGUAUCAUGCUUUUGACCCAUAAGAAAUUCCCAAAUCCAAGGUUGAAAAUGGUGAUCCUUGGUCAGGAGAAGAGCAGAGCAGCAGCUAAGUGGUGCGUGAGCUGACGGGCCUGUCACAUCAACUGUGCCAUGCUGAACCAUGUAAGUCAGGCUGAGAGAGCAGCGUAUUGAUCACCGUUAUCUUCUUAGGAAUUCUUGUCCCCAUCCAACUUUCCUCACAAGACAGAAAGCAUUUGACACCAAGCACACAAUGGGAGGGUAUUUGGGAGAAAAGGCCCCUACUCCUCUGCCCAGGAGUGCCAGAUCAGUGCCCUCCACAGCAGGGCAAAAGCACCAAGUACAACUUUUCCAGGGAUGCUAGAUGAGUAUCUUCCGUCGCGUAAAAUAGGAACUUCUGGGCUAUCUUCUUGUAGAUUUAUGCGUCCAAUGGCAGCAAUUAGAAAGUUGCAGCAAAAUAUGAGGUAAUGUAGGCUUUAAUCCUCUUGCAAGG